GUGCAAAGCUGUUUGUCUCCCAGUCAGAGACAAAUGGGAACAGCUGCUGGCGUACCAAGGCGCUGCACUGAAGGAGGCAGUCUGCAGGCAUAGCUGGGGCAGCAAGAACAUGGUCUGCCAAGUAACUUACUUCUUUUGGAUAUGUCGUAAAGCAGGUACAAAAACACCUGCUUUCUCUGGAAGUCACUGUGCUCACUUCAAUCAAGGGAAUAGAAACACGUGACUUCAGGUGGGGGCCAGAAGCCUGUUUUAUAAAAGCUGGAAUAUGUAACUUUGCUGCUCAUGAUCAUUAAUGUCUACUGUUUCUGGUAUGCCUCAGAAGGUCUUGAAUGAUGACUUUUUCCAGUGACUUAGAAGCUGUAUGUGGGAAGGCACUGAAGCAUCUAUGUCUUUUAAGUACCAUAUAUGUUGCACCCUGAAAAUGAUGACUGAAUUUAAGUGCCUGGUCAAUAAAGAUUUUGGGCUGAGUUGCAUUGUAAAAAAAAUUCUCAUGCAGUCCUAAUCCAAAUGUGAAGCUUACCUUGUCCACCUUUGAUUGUCUGUGCUAUGUAGUGAAGUCACUUUUGCAUAUGAGAUGAGUAUGGCUUUAAGUGUAUGAUUCAUGAGAAUGUUGCAAUUGAUUAGAUGCUGAAGCUGUGAAUAGGUCACAUAAUUAUAUUCUGAGUCACAGUAUGUAAAUCCAGAUGGUUAUUCAAGUGCCUCACAUUUCUACAUUAGGGUAAAGGUGAAACAGCUUCAUUAAAAUUAUUUUGCCAGUUGCAUCUUCUAUUACAGAUGUGUUGUUUUUUUUCCCAGUUGAUGCUUCUAGGC